AGUGAACGCUGGCGGUAGGCCUAACACAUGCAAGUCGAACGGCAGCACAGUAAGAGCUUGCUCUUACGGGUGGCGAGUGGCGGACGGGUGAGGAAUACAUCGGAAUCUACUUUUUCGUGGGGGAUAACGUAGGGAAACUUACGCUAAUACCGCAUACGACCUACGGGUGAAAGCAGGGGAUCUUCGGACCUUGCGCGAUUGAAUGAGCCGAUGUCGGAUUAGCUAGUUGGCGGGGUAAAGGCCCACCAAGGCGACGAUCCGUAGCUGGUCUGAGAGGAUGAUCAACCACCCUUGGACUGAGACCCCGUCCAAACUCCUACGGGAGGGCGCCGUGGGGAAUAUUGGCCAAUUGGGGCAAGCCUUGACCCCGCCUACCCGGUUGGUUAAGGAGGACCUUCGGUUGUAAAGCCCUUUUGUUGGGAAAGAAAAGCAGCAGGUUAAUACCCCGCUGUUCUGACGGUACCCAAAGAAUAAGCACCGGCUAACUUCGUG
rnacentral:rRNA from 1 species